rnacentral:lncRNA from 1 species
AUCUGCCAAUCAAUAAUCCCAUUUAACACAAUUUAUGAAUUAUGUUGGUUUUCAAAAAGUUUUUUCUGCCGUGUUCAUUUUGAUCAUUUUACUCCUUCUUGUCGGGAAUUGGUCUACCUUAUCAAAGAAGACAAAAUUUUUAUAAUACUAAACCACCAGUCUGUGCUUAGAGGCAGGACGUCUUAGGAAAUCCUUUCCUCUCCUUUCUGACAUUAAUACAGUCAAGGCUGUCUUCUCUUAGUUGCUUUGUGAGGCAAAGGAAAAUAAAGGUGAUGAAAUGCUAGUCACUAAUUUGUACUCAAGCAAAAUAUUUGGUUGAGAGAGAACUUAAAAAUUUAACCACAACAAAACUUGUAAGAGUUUUUGUCUUAAAAAUAACUUAAUUCUCACAAUGGAUAUCUUUGGUGCCCUCAUUACAUCCCCUUGGCCACAUAUGCUUGUGGCCACAAUUGCAUUUCAUGGUUGGUUUCUUGUAAGCCCAGGCAUAACUUCUCUCAGGAUGGUGGUUUCCUAUCUUAAGCACUUGGUUGGUAUCUUUCAGCUUAUAUCCUCUGGGCUUUCUCAGCUAUGCUGGCAUUUCACCUGUGGCCUGAAGUGAACACUGCUAAGAAGUGUGGGGUAUUUAAAAAUGGAAAAUAAGGCCGGGUGCGGUGGCUUACACCUGUAAUUCCAGCACUUUGGGAGGCUGAGGUGGGUGGAUCACGAGGUCAGGAGAUUGAGUCCAUUCUGGCUAACACAGUGAAACCCCAUCUCUACUAAAAAUACAAAAAAUUAGCUGGGCGUGGUGGCAGGCGCCGGUAGUCCCAGCUGCUCGGGAGGCUGAGGCAGGAGAAUGGCGUGAACCCAGGAGGCGGAGCUUGCAGUGAGCUGAGAUCCCGCCACUGCACUCCAGCCUGUGAGACUCCGUCUCAAAAAAAAAAAAAAAAAAAAGGAAAAUAUAUCACCCCUGGGGACAACUUUAAACAAAGAAAUAAGAGCUGCCAACUCCUCUUCUUCAGGUGGACAAUGCUGGAAGACGUUCUGUAUGCUUCUUAGAGGUCUGAGCAGACUUGAGGCUUUACAGAAGUAAGGUCAAUAAUAAGCUCUUACAUUUGCACUUUUCCUGCCUGCCUCUCCCCACUCCUUCAUUCCUGCUUACUGAGAUGACCUCCAAACCAAGCCACAUGCUCUUACAUCCUUGUCUGAGGCUCUGCUUUCAGCGGAACAAAAUUAAAAUAUUUUCCACAAAUACAUAAAAAGACCAAUAAUUGGGUGAUUUUUAAUCAAUUUAAAUUUAAUUUUUAAAUUUUUAAAACAAACCUGUCCUCAAUUCUGUUGCUCUCAUUUUCAUUAUCAUCAUAACCAUUAUCAUCAUCUUCAUAACUCAUGGAAAAGUAAAUAAAAUACGCAAAAAUAUUUAAAGGUCAUAUGUAAAGAGUUUUAUGCCAGACUUGGAGGCUUAGCAAAUGGCCUUUUAUUUUGGGGAAAUCAGAAAAUAGAAGACCUGCAAGGGACAUUAGAUUAAAACUUGUGUCUGACUUUGACUGGAAGAGAUUAAAAAAAGGGAAACAUUGCUUACAUAGAAAACAUUUGCCCUAUUAAUUGCUGUAUCUACUGAUGAUGUAUAUUUAUCUCGGAUGCAUAUUUAUCUGCUUGAUCUACUGAUGAUCCUACUAUUGUAGGGAAAAAAUAGGGCAAUUCAAAAAGGAUAUUUAGAUACAAUCAUUAUCUAAAGCUCUUAAUCACAAUAAAUGUAUUAAAAAUUUUGAACUCCUAGGAGUGUGAUGAUAAAAUACAUGUUAUAGAACUGUCUCCAUUUAUGUUGUAGCUAAUUUUUUCACCUAAUUCAUACCCAGAUGUUCCCAGAUACAUGACAACAUUUGGGCCUCUUUAUAGUCUUUCUCCUGAUAUGAUAUGAUAUUAAGGCAAAAACAGCUCUAACGUUCACAUUAUCUCUAUUGUGGCCUAUUAUUAAUUCAGGAAAUGUGAUCAUAUAAUUAAUGUAUUUCUAAAACAAAGCUUCAUUGUAAUCUGCUUUCAGUGUCAUCAUAAUUUCAAAACAUGUUAUUGAAAGGUACUAUGGUAUAAAUGGUUAAUUUUGACCAAAAAAAUUCAAAAUCAACCUCUGUGCUCUAAUGGGAGAAGGAAGGAAUUCCCAAGAGUUUUUGUUAAUACGUUAAAUACUACAUUUCUUUUGAACUUCCCCAGUGCCUUCUUAUGGUAAAUAGCUACUUGAACAGAGGUAUAGUUUCUAUUCCUGUUAAAGUAUGAGUCAUAUCAAAAUCUAAUCAAGUAAGUGAAAGGUAAAAAUGUCAUCACACUUCUAAAAUUGCUGUCAAUAUUUCACACCUGUAUGGAAAGCAGAUAGAUGUCUAAGCAGCAGCUUGAUAACAUUCCAAACUGCAACCUCUAAUUAACUCACCUUUUGAAUUAUUAGCGAGACUCCACUGCGACCCAUGCAGCCUUUGGCAGGGAGCCUGACAACAAAAUGCAUGUCUAAAAUACCAAGGAGGGGGAGAAGUGCUAUAUUAUUUGGCACAAAUAUUAUCAUCCACCUGUGAAGAGGGAAUAUGCUUUUCCACUUUGCUUAUUAUAGAUGAUUUACUAGUUAUAUGCUCUUGGCUUCAUCUCCAUAAAUUAUACUAUAAUCAUUCAGCCUAAGGGAUAAUGGUAAAACUAUGGUUGAUAUACUCAAUACGGUAGGGAAAGUUAAUUAAAUUAGAUAAAAAUAUUUCAAUGAUAUUUACAUGCUCUCAAUAUUUAGAGUCUGAUACAAACCAUGAAAUUUGUAUGGAAGAGUCUAUAGAGCAUACAGUUUGUAUUAUGAGACUAAAGCUGACUUAGACACAUCUGGAACUUGGAACAGAGAAAACCCAUGUCAUGUAAUAAUUUGAUAAUGCAAGUAUUUGAGGAUUUAGUUUGUCUCUUGAUAAAUUAAUAAGGAGGCUUCACUACAAAUACAGUGUGAGAAAGUGGUGGUCACUAAAGUUCUAUGAGGCUGAUUAUUUUAAACAGCUUAGAAUGAUAAAAUCACUUACUUGAGGCAAUGCACAUCGUGUAAGUCUUUUUGUAAUAUUUUUUCUUCAAAAGUGGCUGGAACUAAUUUUUUUUUUAUUUUUCCACCAGUAGUAAUUCUUUUGUUAAUCUAUUAAAGGAAAUCUAAGAGCAUCUAUUGUAUUGAGAAAAUGUUUAUUAUGAGUGCUAGAGAUUCAGUCAUAUACCAAAUAUUAAUACUCUAGUAACAAAAUGUUUUACUAGUAUAUAUGAACAUGAUUAAAAUGACAACCCCAGAGAAAACUAGCAAGGUGUUAUUUUGAUAGGUUUCUUUGAAAGGAGAAGGAGAUGAUGUAACCUAAUAUAUUUUAUAA